GUGGGGAAUCUUCCGCAAUGGACGAAAGUCUGACGGAGCAACGCCGCGUGAGUGAUGAAGGUCUUCGGAUUGUAAAGCUCUGUUAAUCGGGACGAAAGAGCCUAGUGUGAAUAAUGCUAGGAAGUGACGGUACCGGAAUAGAAAGCCACGGCUAACUACGUGCCAGCAGCCGCGGUAAUACGUAGGUGGCAAGCGUUGUCCGGAAUUAUUGGGCGUAAAGCGCGCGCAGGCGGAUCUGCCAGUCUGUCUUAAAAGUUCGGGGCUUAACCCCGUGAUGGGAUGGAAACUACAGAGCUAGAGUAUGGGAGAGGAGAGUGGAAUUCCUAGUGUAGCGGUGAAAUGCGUAGAUAUUAGGAAGAACACCAGUGGCGAAGGCGACUUUCUGGACGAAAACUGACGCUGAGGCGCGAAAGCCAGGGGAGCGAACGGGAUUAGAAACCCUAGUAGUCC
rnacentral:rRNA from 1 species